AAUAGAUACCCAGGUAGUCCACGCCGUAAACGAUGAGUGCUAAGUGUUAGGGGGUUUCCGCCCCUUAGUGCUGCAGCUAACGCAUUAAGCACUCCGCCUGGGGAGUACGGCCGCAAGGCUGAAAUUCAAAGGAAUUGACGGGGGCCCGCACAAGCGGUGGAGCAUGUGGUUUAAUUCGAAGCAACGCGAAGAACCUUACCAGGUCUUGACAUCUCCUGACCGCCCUGGAGACAGGGUCUUCCCUUCGGGGACAGGAUGGACAGGUGGUGCAUGGUUGUCGUCAGCUCGUGUCGUGAGAUGUUGGGUUAAGUCCCGCAACGAGCGCAACCCUUGUCCUUAGUUGCCAGCAUUCAGUUGGGCACUCUAAGGAGACUGCCGGCUAAAGUCGGAGGAAGUGGGGAUGACGUCGAAAUCAUCAUGCCCCUUAUGACCUGGGCUACGACACGUGCUACAAUGGGCGGUACAGAGGGUCGCGAACCCGCGAGGGGGGANCCGAAUCCCGAAAAAGCCGCUCGUCAGUUCGGAUUGGAGCUGCAACUCG
rnacentral:rRNA from 1 species